rnacentral:rRNA from 1 species
UACGGGGGGAGCAAGCGUUGUUCGGAUUUACUGGGCGUAAAGGGCGCGUAGGCGGCGCAACAAGUCACUUGUGAAAUCUUCAGGCUUAACCUGAAGCGGCCAAGUGAUACUGUCGUGCUAGAGUGCGGAAGGGGCAACUGGAAUUCUUGGUGUAGCGGUGAAAUGCGUAGAUAUCAAGAGGAACACCUGCGGCGAAGGCGGGUUGCUGGGCCGACACUGACGCUGAGGCGCGAAAGCCAGGGGAGCGAACGGG